GAUGAACGCUGGCGGCGUGCCUAAUACAUGCAAGUCGAGCGAACGGACGAGAAGCUUGCUUCUCUGAUGUUAGCGGCGGACGGGUGAGUAACACGUGGAUAACCUACCUAUAAGACUGGGAUAACUUCGGGAAACCGGAGCUAAUACCGGAUGAUAUUUUGAACCGCAUGGUUCAAAAGUGAAAGACGGUCUUGCUGUCACUUAUAGAUGGAUCCGCGCUGCAUUAGCUAGUUGGUAAGGUAACGGCUUACCAAGGCAACGAUGCAUAGCCGACCUGAGAGGGUGAUCGGCCACACUGGAACUGAGCCACGGUCCAGACUCCUACGGGAGGCAGCAGUAGGGAAUCUUCCGCAAUGGGCGAAAGCCUGACGGAGCAACGCCGCGUGAGUGAUGAAGGUCUUCGGAUCGUAAAACUCUGUUAUUAGGGAAGAACAUAUGUGUAAGUAACUGUGCACAGCUUGACGGUACCUAAUCAGAAAGCCACGGCUAACUACGUG
rnacentral:rRNA from 1 species